rnacentral:misc_RNA from 1 species
AUGAAUAAACCUAGUGGGUUGUAGCUGGCUCUUCGGAGUAUGUGCACGCUCAUUAUCUUUAUCUAUCCACCUGUGCAUAAUCUGUAGUCUUGAGGGAGAUUAGAGCAACCGGUCCGUUGGGAUUGGGGUUUUGUGACUUUCUCUCGAGUCUAUGUACUUUCAUACACUACAUAGUAUGUUAUUGAAUGGAUAUCAUGGGCUUCUAUGCCUAUAAAAAAUCUUUAUA